rnacentral:rRNA from 1 species
UAGGGAAUCUUCGGCAAUGGACGAAAGUCUGACCGAGCAACGCCGCGCGAGUGAAGAAGGUUUUCGGAUCGUAAAACUAUGUUGUUUGAGAAGAACAAGGACGAUAGUAACUGAACGUCCCCUGACGGUAUCUAAUCAGAAAGCCACGGCUAACUACGUGCCAGCAGCCGCGGUAUUACGUAGGUGGCAAGCGUUGUCCGGAUUUAUUGGGCGUAAAGCGAGCGCAGGCGGUUUCUUAAGUCUGAUGUGAAAGCCCCCGGCUCAGCCGGGGGGGGUGAUUGGGAGCUGGGAGACUGGAGUGCAGAGGAGGAGGGUGGAAUUCCAUGUGGAGCGGUAAAAUGCGUAGAUAUAGGGAGGAGCACCAGUGGAGAAGGCGGCUCGCUGGAAUGUAACUGACGGUGAGGCUCGAAAGGGUGGGGAGCGAACAGG